UAAAGGGGCAGUCCCUCAGUUUGUAGCCACGGAAUCUCAUUUAUUUUCACCUGGCAACUGGUGAAACUUGCCUUCCUGUGCAGGUCUUCAGUCUCCCAUUGGCACGCCAUGCUGCACUGAGCUUACUCAAAACCACACCCCUCUGCCCUUCCUGGACCUCCUGGAUGGUUCCUGUUGCCUACUAGAGCCUUUUGCAUGCUCUUGCCUUUGAUUCCAUUAUGCCCGAUUGUUGACUUGAAACCCCUUAAGUGCUCUGGGCUUUCCCAGUCCCUCCGGAGGAAACCUCGGGUUUCUCCUUCCUUACCACUGCAUUUGUAAGGGUUGGCUCAGGAUCACAUCCUCACCGUGCAGGCUAGAAAUGGUUUCAGUUUCUAUUCUCACUGUGACCAAAUCUGUAACAGAAAGCAACUUAAGAAUGGCUUUAGCUUAGCUCCGGCUUUGAGGGAGCAGGCCACACGAUGGGGAAAGUGUGUAGCCAGAGCAGCCCUUGGCUGGCAGCAGGAGUGGGAGGCUGCUCGCACAUCUGAGCAGGUCCAGAGCAAAGGCAAGAGUCCUAGAGGAGUGAGUCAUCUGGAUUUCUUCUUCACUCAUUAAUUAUAUGUGUUUGGCUUUUUGAAGCAGGGUCUCACCUGGGUCUGGGCCUGGGUGGCCGCUGAGUUGGCAGCCUGCCAACACUCUUGUGCCUGUGCCACCAGGUCCAGCUCUCUCCCACUUCACCCAGGCAAGAGGCAAGGCUAGCUCUCCUGUCUACGGCUGUACUGGAACUCACUCUGUAGACUUGGCUGGUUUCAAAGUCACAGAGAUCUGACUGCCUCUGCCUCCCGGGUACUGGGAUUAAAGAUGUGCAGCACCAAACCUGGCUAAAAAAUACCUUCUUACUGUGCACAAGCACAGCAGGAGUGUAGAGUCAGAUGUCCCCGCCAGCGGGGACCCAGUUAUUCAGGGUCCCGAAGAGGCUUUCUACCUGUGGGCCAAAUGGGGGUGAAGAGAAGAAGGAGACCAAGCAAAAGUUCUGUUGUCAAGGUCUCGUUUAUUGGGAUGAACGUUACAGCUUUUAAGGCUUUCAGGUAGGGGGAGUGACCUUUGUGAAAUAGGUAGGAGGGGGAGAUGAGGAUAUAAGCAGUGAUAGCUGGAGGCAAAGAGGUCAGGCGGUAGAGACACCGGGUGUUGACUCAGGAGAUAACUGAUUUUUACUUAGGCUGAAGCAUCCCGUGAAUGUUAUCUUCCUGUGCCAUAAAUUCAUGGGAGAGGCUCUUUGAGGAGUAUGUGUGGCCAAGAGUCACGUAGCCACUUUGAGCUAUACAGUCACAAAAUGGCCAGGCCCAAAUCCAAUAUGGCUCCUUACAGUCAGAGGGUAGCUUUCAGGAGUCAGUUCUCCUCUUCUCCAGUGGGCUCCAAGGCUGGCACUCAGCUGGUCAGGCAUGUGUGGUCAGGGGCUUUCACCCACCGACCUGUCUCUCAUGCCGCUCUCUGCUCACUUUUAAAAACCUUGUAUUGAUUCUUUGUGAAUUUCACAUUGUAUAUCCCAAUCCCACUCCUCCUCCAUAACCACCCUCUGCCCUUGCAACUACCCCUCAAAAGAGAACAAAAUAUAGAAACAAACAAACAAAAAAUCUAACUGUGGAAACUGCAGUGUGUCACGGUGUGUCCCACAGUAUACCUUUUGCCCAAAUAGCUUCACCUGCAAAUGUUCAUUGUAGCGAGUCAUUGGGCUGGUUUGGGGCCUCUGGCUUCAUGAUACCAUCAAUGCUGGGUCCUCACCAGGAUUCCUCUGUUAUCUGCUGCUGUCCUGUGUCACAGGGGGCCUGUAGCAUUGGUUCUGUGGGAGCAGCCCUUCACAUGCUCCAGCCGUUCAUACAUGGGGUAGAUGCUGGGUGGGCCAGCUGAAUCUGGCCCGCGUGGUAGCUGAGUGGGCAGCCUGCCAGCUUUCCCGUGCCUGUGCCACCAGGUCCAUCUCUCCCACUUGACCAAGGCAAGAGGCAAGGCUAGCUCUCCUGUCUGCAGCAGCUGGCAAGUGGCUGUCCUGUGCUCACACCAUCUGGGCCAGGUCUCCCACUCCCGUACCCUCAGGGCCAACUCUUGCACACUGCCCAGGCGAGAGUCAGGGCCAACUCCUCCAUACUCAUGCCCUCUGGACCAGUUCACAUGCAUCCCUGCCACCAGGGCCAGCUCAGGCCUGCUCAGGUAAGGUGCAGGCCGGCUCUCCAGAGAACUGCAGCUGGCAAGGGAUGGGGGCAGCUCUAUGUAGCCCUCAGAGGCCAGCAUGGCCCCAAGUGGCAGCACCUGGGAUGGACCAGGGAUGUCCACGUGGUCUUCGGUGGUAAUACGGGCCAUGGACAUCGGCACAGUGCCUUGCUGCCGCAGGGCCACACACCCAGUGCCUUCUGUUCGUUUUUAUUCAUUCCAAGAUCCCAUGUCAUAUGACACGGUGCUGCCCACAUUUGAGAUAGGUCUUCUUCCACCUGCAAACACCCACAAAGACCAUCUAGAGAGUCAAGUCAUUAAUGCAUUGGUCCAUUCUCUGGAAAGCAGACACAAAGCACAGGAAGACUCGUGCAGCGAACAGUCCCUUCCUGAGACAUGCCCCAGCCUAUGAAGUUCACCGUGCACACUCUCUGAAGUUGGGGAUCUUGGAACUAGUUUCAGAGGCUGGCGGAGCCCCAUGCGAUACAUAGUUUCUCCUUAGGAACAGGGCUGAGGGGAGUGAACAAGUUACUCUCCCUUGCGUGCGCUGGGCAGCCUCUGUUCUUCAGCAGAGCACAGAGUGCACCUGGGAGAGAGUGGCGCUUGUGUGGAGCAAUUACCCUGUUUGUGCAGGAAAUAGGGAAGGCAGAAGGCACCGGGCAGAAAUGGCAGUUUGAGUGCUGAGCACGUGGUAGUCAGUCAUUCAGCUAUUAAUUCAUUAAACACACACUGCUGAGAAUGGGGGCAGGAAAAGGCAGUAAAACUGAUAGGGUACAAUCGCUUUCCUCAAAGAGCUGAUAAUUCAGUUCUGGGAAGUUAAGAGAUAUGAGUGCUUGCUCUUCGUGUGUGUGUGUGUGUGUGUGUGUGUGUGUGUGUGUGUGUGUGUAGCACAGAGAAGAGAGAGGGUUAUCCUGUCCUGGUAGUGGAAGACCUCUGAUGCCUGUAGCCUGGUUUGACACCUUGCACCUUUCUGUAAAGCCUCAGGUCAGCUUACUGCAACUGAACUGCCUGGAGGGGAGUUCCAGACCCUAGAUGCCAGUUCCAGUGACCCCUAGUCUGCCUGCACCCAUGAAUGCCUGCCUGUCCACAGUUUCAGGGUCACACAACUCAGUAAAAAAAUCACAGAGAACUUAAGAAGGGCCUCCAGUUACUAGAUAUGCUUUUGUAGGUGCAAGUGUGUGAGCACACAUGUGUCCACAUGUAUGUGUUCCCUUGUGUUUGCAUAUGUGUGGUUGGUAUGUGAGUGCAUUGUGUGUGUGUGUGUGUGUGUGUGUGUGUGUGUGUGUGUGUGUGUGUGUAGGUCAGAGGACAACUUCAGUAUUGUUCCUCAGAAGUCAUCCACCUUGCUCUCUCUUUUCAUUGUUUGUUUGAGACAGGGUUUUACUGGCCUGGAACUUUCUUUCUUGGAUAGACUCAUCACACCACAGGAAUCCACCUGUUGGCUUCCCCAGUGUUGGGUUUACCAUUGUGCACUACCAUGCCCAGCCUUUAAAAUGUGGGUUCUGGAAGUUAAACUCAGGGUCUCAGGCUUGUAAGGUAAACGUUUUACUGACUGAGUUAUCUCCCUGGCCUGUUCUAUGGCUUCCUUAUAACAUGCAUUCACAGUACAAGGUUGAAGAAAGACACAUACCUUCAGUGUCCUUCCCUUGGGGAGUCAGGUUGUCACCCUCCUGGCACAUCGACCUGUUCACAGGCUGCAAAUCUCCACUGAGCUGCAGUCUGCAAACCAGCCAUUAGGACUUCAGUCUGCCUGUUCAGUAGGCAUGAUGGUUUAAACCACUGAUUCACCAUUGAGUUCCUGCAGGCCCCUUCUUCCUUAGAGCCUCUGGCUGGACCUUCUCAAGCCCCAUCGGAACACUAGCUUGGGAGCUUCCAAUAAUCACUUUACUAGUGUGAAGAAAGCAUUCAUCAGGAAACGCCAAGACUCUUUAGGACCUCUAUGGCAGGCUCCAGGCUAAGGAGGAAACAUUUCAGUCAGUACAUCUUGACUUAAAAUAUCAGCCUGCAUUUUGGAAGUUAGACAUCCAUGCCAAUCUCCAGCUUUCCAUGUGACUUUGGGAGGCUCUGUUAACUCUGAUUUGAACCAUUUUUUCUUUCUCUGUACAGUGCAGGAAGUGUCUUUCUACCAUCAAGGCCAUUAAAAACCCAGGCUAGUUGAAAUGAACCUAUUGAGUCAGUGAGGAGGUGGAUAAGUGAAGACUCAUUACAGACCCAGUCAGCGCUGGCACAGAGCCGACUGGAGGAAGAUGGACUAAUUUGCAUAAAUCUGCUUCUGAGCACAGCUGGCCUUGCAAUAGGAAAGCGAGUUAUACCCUUUCUCGACUCACCUCUUGCUCCACUGAGUAACUUUUGCACAGCAAGUCCCCACCCAGUGAACCAGAUCAGUCACAGAAGACACCCUGCCUCCGGCUUCCCCAGCAAGCUCCAAUCUGAGCACGCUGAAGUGGUCCCCACAGCUCUGCUUCUUUAAGUCUUUCCACUUCUUCCUGCUUCUGCGCCUCUGCUGAUUGGCAAAGCACAAUGCUGGUGGCCUUGCUGUGGCAACGAGGUGGAAGCGAAUGGCCUACCUGCUCUUUGUCUCGGGAUUGGGGAUGACUUUUGUUUCUACACAGAGUGAGAUAGCUUCUUGCUGUCAUUUUAGAAGGACAGAGCCAUAUGAGCCUUCAUGGGGAGAAGGGAAGAGGGCUGUGGAAUAAGGUAACCUGUCCUUUUCGAUGAACCCUGGAUUCUUAAAAGAGAGGCAUUGGUUCAGAGUGAAAUGGACAUUCUCCUGGGUCAGGCAGUGACAGACAACAGUAGGCUCUAAGCAGAGUGCUGUCUAUGACCACCUUUCUAACCCCAGAGAAGACGUUAGCAUCUCUGAUCGCCCACAGUGAAAUAUGGAUGAUUCAGCUCCUCCAGGGGUAAAGUGUGUUCUACUGCAGAUGCUGCUGACAUCAUGGGCAACCUACUCCAUCUGUCAUUUCCUCCCAGCAUUCUGCUGUCUCAGGGCUCUUGCUCUCAUCAUGUUUCCCAGCAGAGCCACAGGUGGUAAAGCCAGUUGUCAAGCCAUAGAUGACAAGUGUGACCCCACAAUGCCCAGCCAGGGCAUGAGGGAGGGGUUACCCUAAGGGAGGCCAGGCAGGGGCAUCAGUGCUCAGGAAGAGGGGUUGGCAUACCCUCAAGGUCUAAAGAAUAAGCUUCACUCCACAGAGAAGACAGACCAGUGGUUGGUUAAUUAAUAAACAUCUCUUGUCUCCCA